rnacentral:rRNA from 1 species
UACGGAGGGUGCGAGCGUUUUUCGGAAUCACUGGGCGUAAAGGGCGUGUAGGCGGUCCGCUAAGUCUGAUGUGAAAGCCCGGGGCUCACCCCCGGAAGGGCAUUGGAAACUGGCGGACUCGAGUCCCGGAGAGGAAGGUGGAAUUCCUGGUGUAGCGGUGAAAUGCGUAGAUAUCAGGAGGAAUACCGGUGGCGAAGGCGGCCUUCUGGACGGUGACUGACGCUGAGACGCGAAAGCGUGGGGAGCAAACAGG